UACGAAGGGAGCUAGCGUUGUUCGGAAUUACUGGGCGUAAAGCGCACGUAGGCGGCUUUCUAAGUCAGGGGUGAAAUCCUGGAGCUCAACUCCAGAACUGCCUUUGAUACUGGGGAGCUCGAGUCCGGAAGAGGUGAGUGGAACUCCGAGUGUAGAGGUGAAAUUCGUAGAUAUUCGGAAGAACACCAGUGGCGAAGGCGGCUCACUGGUCCGGUACUGACGCUGAGGUGCGAAAGCGUGGGGAGCAAACAGG
rnacentral:rRNA from 1 species